rnacentral:rRNA from 1 species
CUACAGGCUUAACACAUGCAAGUCGAGGGGCAGCAUGGUCUUAGCUUGCUAAGACUGAUGGCGACCGGCGCACGGGUGAGUAACACGUAUCCAACCUGCCGUCUACUCUUGGACAGCCUUCUGAAAGGAAGAUUAAUACAAGAUGGCAUCAUGAGUCCGCAUGUUCACAUGAUUAAAGGUAUUCCGGUAGACGAUGGGGAUGCGUUCCAUUAGAUAGUAGGCGGGGUAACGGCCCACCUAGUCUUCGAUGGAUAGGGGUUCUGAGAGGAAGGUCCCCCACAUUGGAACUGAGACACGGUCCAAACUCCUACGGGAGGCAGCAGUGAGGAAUAUUGGUCAAUGGGCGAGAGCCUGAACCAGCCAAGUAGCGUGAAGGAUGACUGCCCUAUGGGUUGUAAACUUCUUUUAUAAAGGAAUAAAGUCGGGUAUGCAUACCCGUUUGCAUGUACUUUAUGAAUAAGGAUCGGCUAACUCCGUGCCAGCAGCCGCGGUAAUACGGAGGAUCCGAGCGUUAUCCGGAUUUAUUGGGUUUAAAGGGAGCGUAGAUGGAUGUUUAAGUCAGUUGUGAAAGUUUGCGGCUCAACCGUAAAAUUGCAGUUGAUACUGGAUAUCUUGAGUGCAGUUGAGGCAGGCGGAAUUCGUGGUGUAGCGGUGAAAUGCUUAGAUAUCACGAAGAACUCCGAUUGCGAAGGCAGCCUGCUAAGCUGCAACUGACAUUGAGGCUCGAAAGUGUGGGUAUCAAACAGGAUUAGAUACCCUGGUAGUCCACACGGUAAACGAUGAAUACUCGCUGUUUGCGAUAUACAGCAAGCGGCCAAGCGAAAGCGUUAAGUAUUCCACCUGGGGAGUACGCCGGCAACGGUGAAACUCAAAGGAAUUGACGGGGGCCCGCACAAGCGGAGGAACAUGUGGUUUAAUUCGAUGAUACGCGAGGAACCUUACCCGGGCUUAAAUUGCAGAUGAAUUACGGUGAAAGCCGUAAGCCGCAAGGCAUCUGUGAAGGUGCUGCAUGGUUGUCGUCAGCUCGUGCCGUGAGGUGUCGGCUUAAGUGCCAUAACGAGCGCAACCCUUGUUGUCAGUUACUAACAGGUUCCGCUGAGGACUCUGACAAGACUGCCAUCGUAAGAUGUGAGGAAGGUGGGGAUGACGUCAAAUCAGCACGGCCCUUACGUCCGGGGCUACACACGUGUUACAAUGGGGGGUACAGAGGGCCGCUACCACGCGAGUGGAUGCCAAUCCCCAAAACCUCUCUCAGUUCGGACUGGAGUCUGCAACCCGACUCCACGAAGCUGGAUUCGCUAGUAAUCGCGCAUCAGCCACGGCGCGGUGAAUACGUUCCCGGGCCUUGUACACACCGCCCGUCAAGCCAUGGGAGCCGGGGGUACCUGAAGUGCGUAACCGCGAGGAGCGCCCUAGGGUAAAACUGGUGACUGGGGCUAAGUCGUA